AGAUAGAAGAAGAAGAAAAAAAAAAUCAUUUUGUUAGAAAAUCAUAUUUUUUUAAAACACCAAAAAGAAAAUAGAAA
rnacentral:sRNA from 1 species